rnacentral:tRNA from 1 species
GGGUGUGUGGCGGAACUGGUAACGCACUCGGCUGUAACCCGACAGUAGCUUUUGAGCUUGGAGGUUCGAAUCCUCCCACACCCA